ACUUUGUCCCCUUUCAUCAUUUUGCAGUUUGUUCGACUAAGAAUUCCAAGGGGACCUCUCGAUUCUGUACUUACAGAGAUACUGGCUCAGUGCUAACACAAGUGAUCACAGAAAAAUUGCAGCUGCCUUCUCCCCAAGAACAGAGGAAGAGUUCCUAGAUCAAGUGAAGAGGAAGCUGGCUCAGACCAUCCCCGAGAAAAACCUGUUGACCACAAAGCCUUGUCACUGUAAGGAUAUCCUGAAGUUAGUGCUCUCACCCCUCACCUAGCAUUGCUUGGUCGUUGGAGAAACCACCUGUGCAUUUUAUUACCUGCUGGAGGCUGC
rnacentral:lncRNA from 1 species